GAUGAAGUACGCAGCGAAAUGCGAUAAGUAAUGUGAAUUGCAGAAUUCAGUGAAUCAUCGAAUCUUUGAACGCACAUUGCGCCCCCUGGUAUUCCGGGGGGCAUGCCUGUUCGAGCGUCAUUUCACCACUCAAGCCUCGCUUGGUAUUGGGCAACGCGGUCCGCCGCGUGCCUCAAAUCGACCGGCUGGGUCUUCUGUCCCCUAAGCGUUGUGGAAACUAUUCGCUAAAGGGUGUUCGGGAGGCUACGCCGUAAAACAACCCCAUUUCUAAGGUUGACCUCGGAUCAGGUAGGGAUACCCGCUGAACUUAAGCAUAUCAAUAAGCGGAGGA
rnacentral:misc_RNA from 1 species